UGUCCGGGCCGUGACUGGCGCUGAGGUGGAGUACCACCGGGGAGCGGUCCGUGUGGUUGCCGCGCGCCUGGGCGAGAGAC
rnacentral:ncRNA from 1 species